rnacentral:rRNA from 1 species
AGAGUUUGAUCCUGGCUCAGAUUGAACGCUGGCGGCAUGCUUUACACAUGCAAGUCGAACGGCAGCACGGGGGCAACCCUGGUGGCGAGUGGCGAACGGGUGAGUAAUACAUCGGAACGUAUCCUUGAGUGGGGGAUAACGCAGCGAAAGUUGUGCUAAUACCGCAUGAGCUCUGAGGAGGAAAGUGGGGGACCGUAAGGCCCCACGCUGAAGGGGCGGCCGAUGUCCGAUUAGCUAGUUGGUGAGGUAAAGGCUCACCAAGGCUUCGAUCGGUAGCUGGUCUGAGAGGAUGAUCAGCCACACUGGGACUGAGACACGGCCCAGACUCCUACGGGAGGCAGCAGUGGGGAAUUUUGGACAAUGGGGGCAACCCUGAUCCAGCCAUGCCGCGUGAGUGAAGAAGGCCUUCGGGUUGUAAAGCUCUUUCGUGAGGGAAGAAACGGCCAUAGUGAAUAGCUGUGGUUACUGACGGUACCUCAAGAAGAAGCACCGGCUAACUACGUGCCAGCCGCCGCGGU